rnacentral:rRNA from 1 species
AUCCUGGCUUAGGAUGAACGCAGCGGCAGGCUUAACACAUGCAAGUCGAGGGGCAGCGGGAUGUAGCAAUACAUGCCGGCGACCGGCGGAUGGGUGCGUAACGCGUAUGCAACUACCUUAUACAGGGGAAUAACCUUUCGAAAGGGAGACUAACACCCCAUAGUAUUGAUUUAAGGCAUCUUAGAUUAAUUAAAUAUUUAUAGGUAUAAGAUGGGCAUGCGUAUGAUUAGCUAGUUGGUAAGGUAACGGCUUACCAAGGCGACGAUCAUUAGGGGUUCUGAGAGGAAGGUCCCCCCACACUGGUACUGAGACACGGACCAGACUCCUACGGGAGGCAGCAGUGAGGAAUAUUGGUCAAUGGGCGCAAGCCUGAACCAGCCAUGCCGCGUGCAGGAAAAGGACGGCCUUAUGGGUUGUAAACUGCUUUUACAUAAGACUAACCGUAUAUUUGCGAAUAUACCUGAAUGUAUUAUGAGAAUAAGGAUCGGCUAACUCCGUGCCAGCAGCCGC